rnacentral:lncRNA from 1 species
GCCCCAGGUUACAGAGUUGGUAACAGAACUCUGAUUUGUCCCCAGCAGUCCAAUUCCAGAGCCUUCUCCAUCUAUGGGCUCUAAGGAGGGGGGAAUAAAUUAUCAAGGACAGCGAGCUUUCUAGAAAGCGAAUCAGAUCCUGUCAUCUCCCUGUUAAAAACCCUUUCAGCAGCUUCCCCCUGCUUUCAGGAUGGAGACCAACUCCUUACCCAGACCUACAAAACCCUGUGUGGUCUGCACUGUGCCAGCCUCCACCACCUCCCUGCCCUCUGCCUGGGGCCUGUGCCUGCGCAAACAUGCCCGCCCCUCCCACUGAGGCUCUUCGGCCUGACUGUUCCCUCCGCACAAACUUCACUUCCCCUCUUCCCCUUCUGCUGAGGCUUAGCACUGGUCUCUUGUUCGUCUCCACCUGCGGCUCCUUCUCCACCUGCCCUCCAGAUGCGCUCAGGCCUGGGCCUCCUCUUCUCCAUCCAGCCACGCUCUCCAUCCCAUCUCAGGACUCCAAGUCGCAGAUCCACCCCAACGACCACAGCCACAUCUGCAGCCCACGUCUCCAUUCAGACGUCAGGUACCUCAGACUUAACCUGUCCAGGCCAAACUCCUGUUACCCCUGCCUGAUUUCAUUCCCAUUUCCCACCUCCAUAAAUCAACACCAUUUGACAUGGACAAUCCUAGUGUCAUUUUGGACUCCUUUCUUCCUCUGGCCUUUACAACCAAGUGCACAGAACAUCCUGUGGGCUCUGCCUUCAGAGUAG